AGCAGCCGCGGUAAUUCCAGCUCCAAUAGCGUAUAUUAAAGUUGUUGCAGUUAAAAAGCUCGUAGUUGAAUUUCGGAAUCUGUCUAUCGGUCGGGCUUUAUUGUCCGUACUGAUUUGAUGGAUUCUUACCUUCUGAAUAACCAGCAUGCCAUUAAGUUGGUGCGUUGGGGAAGCAGAGCUAUUACCUUGAAAAAAUUAGAGUGCUUAAAGCAGGCUAUCGCUUGAAUAGAUUAGCAUGGAAUAAUAAAAUAGGACGGCAUGGUUCUAUUUUGUUGGUUUCUAGGAUCACCGUAAUGAUUAAUAGGGAUAGUUGGGGGCAUUAGUAUUCAAUUGUCAGAGGUGAAAUUCUUGGAUUUAUUGAAGACUAACUACUGCGAAAGCAUUUGCCAAGGAUGUUUUCAUUAAUCAAGAACGAAAGUUAGGGGAUCGAAGACGAUCAGAUACCGUCGUAGUCUUAACCAUAAACUAUGCCGACUAGGGAUCGGACGAAGUUAAUUUUUUAAUGACCCG
rnacentral:rRNA from 1 species